rnacentral:lncRNA from 1 species
CUAAACUCACAGAGUCUAGUAACCAGUUUUCCCCCACUAAGACAAAAACACUAAAAACAAAAAUUACAAUUAAGGGGGACUAGGAAGUCCAUCAGAAGCCAGAACCCGCACCAGGGACGGAGGUGGCUGAUUAGCCCAUGCUUGCGGACACACCGCCCUUAAUCCUAUCGCCGCCGUCACGUGAGCGGCGCGAUUUGCACCACGAGGGAUCCAACGCCAUUCCACGUAAGAGAACGCUGCACUUAGGCGUCUGAUCUCAUCAAGCAAAGGGUGAAUGGUCCAGGCCUUCGUGCAUA